rnacentral:rRNA from 1 species
UACGAAGGGGGCUAGCGUUGUUCGGAAUUACUGGGCGUAAAGCGCACGUAGGCGGGUUGUUAAGUCAGGGGUGAAAGCCCGGAGCUUAACUCCGGAACUGCCUUUAAAACUGCAUCGCUAGAAUCGUGGAGAGGUGAGUGGAAUUCCGAGUGUAGAGGUGAAAUUCGUAGAUAUUCGGAAGAACACCAGUGGCGAAGGCGACUCACUGGACACGUAUUGACGCUGAGGUGCGAAAGCGUGGGGAGCAAACAGGG